rnacentral:rRNA from 1 species
GAUGAACGCUGGCGGCGUGCCUAAUACAUGCAAGUCGAGCGAACAGACGAGGAGCUUGCUCCUUUGUCGUUUGCGGCGGGCGGGUGAGAAACACGUGGAUACCCUACCUAUAAGUCUGGGAUCUCUUCGGGACUCGGGCGCUUAUACCGGAUGAUCUAUUGCUGCGUAUGGUUCAAUGGUGAAAGACGGUUUUUGUGUCACUUCUCGGUGGAUACGGGCCGCUUUAGCUAGUUGGUAAGGUACCGGCUUACCAAGGCAACGAUGCGUAGCCGAACGCAGAGGGGGAUAGGCCACACUGGAGCUUGAACGCGGACAUGACGCCUGCGGGACGCAGCAGUAGGGAAUCUUACGCAAUGGGCGAAAGCCUGGCGGAGCAACGCCGCGUGAGUGAUGAAGGUCUCCCGAUCGUAAAACUGUGUUAUGAGGGAAGAACAAAUGUGUAAGUAACUAUGCACGGCGUGACGGUACCUAAUCAGAAAGCCACGGCUAACUACGUG